rnacentral:rRNA from 1 species
UACAGAGACUGCAAGCGUUAUUCGGAUUCACUGGGCGUAAAGGGUGCGCAGGCGGCCGUGUGUGUCAGGGGUGAAAGCCCGGGGCUUAACCCCGGAAUUGCGCCUGAAACUACAUGGCUAGAGCAUUGGAGAGGGUAGCGGAAUUCACGGUGUAGCAGUGAAAUGCGUAGAUAUCGUGAGGAACACCAGAGGCGAAGGCGGCUACCUGGACAAUUGCUGACGCUCAGGCACGAAAGCGUGGGGAGCAAAAGGG